GUGAUUUUGUGUCGGGAAAUUCCUCGGGAAUCUUGGGCAAUAAACGUUUUCAUUUUGGUAGUAGUAGCGACCGUUUUAAGACUGAAACAAGCGUGAUACCAUAAAAUGUUAUAAGUGCGGUCAAUUAGAGCAUAUUCAGUCGCGUUGUCAUAAACGAAGUGAGUCUCAGCCGCAGCAUCAACCGAAACUAGCUGAAGAGAAAAAGUCAGGCAUUUGUUUGUUUUCUGCUAAAGCUGGUCACAGCGUUGAAGCCUGUUUUACUCGUAAAAAUAUUGAAAAACGCAAAAAUACUCGGGAUGUUAAGCUUUGCAGUACGGAGAACUCUGGAGAGGGAAAAUUGGUUUCACCUACAGCCUGGACUGUUAUAUUUGUGCAUCCACUUACGACCGUCCCCAAGAAUGCACCCCCCACCUAAAAUCUCCCCCACUGUUCGAAUGCACCGAAGAGAACUUCGCUUAUACGAAAAGUUUAGCCCAGAAAGUCCUUAGGGAGUUCACUCUGGUGUUCCAGGAACCCUCAAAAAACUAUAGCAACGACAGUAGCUGUCUGACAAUAACUACAUCAACUACCAAAGGGUUGUUUUUAUUCCGAGGGUGUCUCAUGGGAAACCGGAAUAUCUGUGACGAGUUUUCCGUGAGGAUUUUGGAUGAAAAUCUGAUAAAUCAGCUGAUUUGUGACACUUGCGACCGAGAUGGAUGCAAUAGCCUUAUAACCUCAAAUUAUACCAAGAAUAAUGGGGUCAAAUAUGCUCGUAUUUCGGUUAGUUGGUUUUGUGUACUUACCAUUUUUUAUGUUCUGAUAAGUUGGUAAGAUUUGGCAUGGUAGCUUACCUGGAAAAAAAUGGAAAUUGUUAAUAAAGAUAUUUAAAAAAAAA